rnacentral:lncRNA from 1 species
AAGCAAUUUGCUCAUAGCCAUAGCUUUCUUGUGAAAGUAGGAUAUUAACCCAGGUGUCUUGGUGCUGGAGAACAGAACUGGCCAGAGUCCAUCCUGUCUCCCACCGGCAUCCCAUUACGAAAUGAACACAGAAAAGGCAGGUCUGCAAUGCCAACAUCUAGUAUCUAUCCCAAAGACCAGGGAGAAAGGAAGGAAAGAUUCUGGUUCUGUCCUCUUCCCCAAGGCAAGGCUGGCUGCCCUACCAACAGAGGCAAAGAGAAGAGUGUGCAAGGCUGGCUGCCCUCCCAACAGAGGCAAAGAGGAGUGUGUGUUGAAAUAUCCAUUGAAUCCCUGAGACAACUGGAUCCUGGCCCAUUGAAUCAUAAACUCAAAUCUCACAUCAUAACCCCAAAUGACCUGUUACUCACCAUGUGGCCCAGCUGUCUUCAAACUCACCAGCCUCCUGCCUUAGCCUUCUAAAUGCUUGGAUUACAGGCAUGACCCACCAUAACUGGCUUUGUUUUAGUUUCAGAGAAGAUGAAACUGAUGUGCGUCAAAAAGCUGGUAGUCUGUCAAGGAAAUGAGCUGAACAUGUCUGUGUACAGCUUUUGUGCCAUCCCUGGAUGAGCGAGCUGUCUGCCUCUAUGUUCUCCACAAAAUGGAAUAUAGCUGUACACCCAAGCCAAGUUAUGGAGGCUGGGAAGACCUAGAAUGUGGCAUCACUAUUUGGAAACCAUGCCGAUUACCGACCGAGCUCUCAAUGGAAAAAUGCAGUCGGCGUGAACCACGCACGAACACAGCAGAGAAAGAAGAAAACACACACCACGAGGAACCCUAAUAGGACAAUACAUUAUAAGCCUCAUGGUACAUCCACUUGGUGUGCUGGGAGAGUCAGGAUGAGGACCUGAGAAGAACAGCAGCUUGAACCUGACUUCAUUUAACAGCCCACUGCCCUCUUGCCAAGAACCCAUCACAGACCUUCCCAGAAGAGAGGGAUGAGCCUCACCUAUGAAUAAGUCCUCAGAAACUCAAAUUUGAUUCUAAUGGAUUGUUUUCUCAGAAAGACUGAGCAUGUCCCCCCACAUCUCUGUCAUUUCCCACAGUAGUAACCUCUGCAGAUGCCACAUAGAAAACAAAACAAAACAAAAAAACAUGAGGUUGGUGGGCAGAUAGGCAGGGUAUAAACAAACAGCCUUGUAACCCAGAAGCUGUGUGAUAUACAGUAAACUUCACAACACUGAAAAGAUGUCCUAUCUGUUAAAAUGGGGUAAUAACAACUACCCGAAUGUUUAGGAAUAGAACUUCAAUAAAUGAUACAUUUUAUAGUACAGCAGACCAUCCUGUAAAGGUUUCAUCCUUCACUGUGGUGAUAAAUAUCCCAAACCACAUUGAAAAGCAUUGCAUCUACAUUUAUCUACACUGUAACUGUACUGUAAAUCAUGGGGGAGGGGAGAAUCAUAAAAACACCACCUGUCACCGUGUCAUUAAAGCAAGUUGGAAGUGAUACUUACAGAAACACAGCAAGAGCACCCCCAGUCACACAGUUCAAUCUCUUAGCAAGCGUUUUCUUUCUAGCCCAGUGGUUCUCAGUUUGGAAUUUUUGGCACUGCCUAGAGAUAGUUUUGUUGUUAAAACUGAGAAAAGAGCCGGGCGUGGUGGCACACGCCUUUAAUCCCAGCACUCAGGAGGCAGAGGCAGG